rnacentral:miRNA from 1 species
UGAACAGAAAAAGUCGUGUGU